GUUGAUCAUCAGACUCCGCAGUUAAGCGUGCUUGGGCGAGAGUAGUACUAGGAUGGGUGACCUCCUGGGAAGUCCUCGUGUUGCAUUCCC
rnacentral:rRNA from 1 species